UGAGUACGAGCUGCUACGGCAGCGAAGUGGGUGAUGUCAUGCUUCCAAGAAAAGCCCUAUACCCGUUAAGGCAUGAUGGCCUGUACCCGAAACCGACACAGGUGGGGUGGUAGAGAAUACCGAGGGGCGCGAGGUAACUCUCUCUAAGGAACUCGGCAAAAUGGCCCCGUAACUUCGGGAGAAGGGGUGCCACCGCAAGGUGGUCGCAGUGAAGAGGCCCAGGCGACUGUUUACCAAAAACACAGGUCUCCGCUAAGUCGCAAGACGAUGUAUGGGGGCUGACGCCUGCCCAGUGCCGGAAGGUUAAGGAAGCUGGUCAGCGUAAGCGAAGCUAGCGACUGAAGCCCCGGUGAACGGCGGCCGUAACUAUAACGGUCCUAAGGUAGCGAAAUUCCUUGUCGGGUAAGUUCCGACCCGCACGAAAGGCGUAACGAUCUGGGCGCUGUCUCGGAGAGAGGCUCGGCGAAAUAGAAUUGUCUGUGAAGAUGCGGACUACGUGCACCCGGACAGAAAGACCCUAUGAAGCUUUACUGUAGCUUGGUAUUGUGCUCGGGCUCGGAAUGCGCAGGAUAGGUGGGAGGCUAUGAACCAUUGCUUGUGGGUGAUGGUGAGCCACUGGUGAGAUACCACUCUUUCCGAGCUAGAGUUCUAACAGCCACCCGUUAUCCGGGGGCUGGACAGUAUCAGGUGGGCAGUUUGACUGGGGCGGUCGCCUCCUAAAAGGUAACGGAGGCGCGCAAAGGUUUGCUCAGGCUGGUUGGAAAUCAGCCGACGAGUGUAAAAGCAGAAGCAAGCUUGACUGUGAGACCUACAAGUCGAACAGGGAGGAAACUCGGCUUUAGUGAUCCGACGGUUCUGCGUGGAAGGGCCGUCGCUCAACGGAUAAAAGUUACUCUAAGGAUAACAGGCUGAUCUCCCCCAAGAGUUCACAUCGACGGGGAGGUUUGGCACCUCGAUGUCGGCUCAUCGCAACCUGGGGCUGAAGUCGGUCCCAAGGGUUGGGCUGUUCGCCCAUUAAAGCGGUACGCGAGCUGGGUUCAGAACGUUGUGAGACAGUUCGGUCCAUAUCCGGUGCAUGCGCAGGAAUAUUGAGAGGAUUUCUCCCUAGUACGAGAGGACCGGGAGGAACGCACCUCUGGUGUACCAGUUAUCGUGCCAACGGUAAACGCUGGGUAGCCAUGUGCGGAGAGGAUAACCGCUGAAAGCAUCUAAGUGGGAAGCCCACCUCAAGAUGAGUAUUCCCAUGGGGUAACCCAGUAAGGUCACGGGAAGAACACCCGUUGAUAGGCUCUACGUGGAAGCGCAGUAAUGUGUGAAGCGGAGGAGUACUAAUAGACCGAGGGCUUGAC
rnacentral:rRNA from 1 species